GGUUAUGUCCUAUCCCUAUCCUAUGUUGUAUUUUUUUUUGAGCUUUUUACAACAUUUACCGUACAAUUCUCCGAGACUAUUACUUUCAUUACUAAGCUGAAGCUUCCUUUUCUUCAGUUUUUCAUAGACUCACCUGCUUGUGGUGAUUAGAUACAGAUUGGUAAUCUUUUUGCUUUGGUGAAAUUGAGAGCUGAUAGACAAAACUGAGCAUCGGAAUCUAAAGCUUUUCGACUUUAAUGUAAGUUCCAAUAAAUAAUUUUAAACACUAGAUUGUAUUUUAGUUGAGUGAUUAAUAAAUAGAUAUAUAAAAUGGUA